UUGCCCGUCAAGCCAUGGGAAUUGGGGGUACCUGAGGUAUGCGAGCGGAAGGCGCGUUCUAGGGUAAGACCGGUGACACCGGGACUAAGUCGUAACAAGGUAGCCGUACCGGAAGGUGCGGCUGAACACUUUCUUUU
rnacentral:rRNA from 1 species